rnacentral:lncRNA from 1 species
AGAAAAUUCCCAUCCCAAAUGCAUCUAGAACAAGUUGCAUAUUUCUUCAUUCGUUGGCCAAUGGGAUCAUCGGAUGCAUGGUGGGGACCUGCUAGAUUGAAUCACACAUUACCUUCUAUUGCAAUGAAGGACAAAUCUAUAUGAAGUGCAUUUGCACUGUUUGGGGAAAAAAAUUGAUACCAUAAGGUGCGAAUUAAAUCAUUAUUUUAGAAAGUAUAGCAUGUGGAGAUAGGAAGAAACCCUACCCCCAUUGAGAUAGUGGGGGUCGUUGUAGUGAUUUAAGGCCCAACUGCAGAGGGUACCGACUCUUAAAAAUAGAGUCUCUUAUAGUAAAAUACUGAAGGCAAAUACAAAUCAUGCAAUGUCAACCUUUAAACGAUUAUCCUUUCUGAUUAUCCUUAUAGUAAAAAAUUGAAGGUAAAAGUACAUUAUGGAUUAUUCUUUCCGAAACGAAAGGGGAUACUGUGAGUUUUGUGGAGUGUAAAUCUUUUGGUACUUGUGUCUUCGAUCUCUACAUGUAUGCAAAAAAAGAAAAAUGGUUAUACUAAAAGUAAAAAGAAAUUUUACACGAUUAUUCAAUCAUAAUUCAUUAUGUGUGAUAAGUUUAUUGACUUUUAAAAUAAUUAUCCCAUUAAUUUGUAUAAAACUAUUUUACUCAUUAGUCUAUAGACAUUAAACUCUAAGAUAAACUAUUUCCAUGACUUUUGUUGCAUUUAUUUUUUGUCAUUUUUUUAUUUUUUUUUAUUUAGUUCGAUUAUAUAACAACUUCCAACCCAUCACAAAAAUCAGGCGAUCGAGUUUGCCGGAGUGGGACAGGAUUAGUUAAUUCACUUUGCCACUUCUAGUAUAUAUGUAUCUUCUUAUAUCAUUUUACGUGUGUAGUUUGGAUUGUUUUGAAAUCUAACUCGCGAAAGGACCAACUUGUUAAUAUUUAUAGAAAUUUUGUGAGUAGGAACUUUCAAGAACAGAUUCUAGAAACCAAAGAUUUAGGUCCAGUUUGGGAUGACAAGUGAGUUUUUGGUUUUUGAUUUUUAAAUAUAAUUUUAAAAAUAAAAUACGUUUGGAAAAAAUAAAAUUCAAUUGAUUUUUAAUUUUUACAUCCAUUAUCAAAAUAAAAAAAUUCUGUGAAUUUAAUUUUUAAUUUUAAUAAAUGCAUUCUAAUUCCUAACCAUCAUCACCAUACCACUGAAAGUUGGUGGCUGUAGUGAUAUUUUUCGUGACUGUUCUGGAGGCUAUUUUGUUGAUUGCCUUGGCAUAUCUAAUUAUGUGCAUGUCGAGUUAAUGAGAGCAAUUUUGUCAAUUGAAAUAGUAGUUUCUAGAAGCUGCAAAAAUCUUUGGUUGGAGUGUGCAUGACUCCAAUUAAGUUGGUGAUAGAUGCCUUUUCUAGUUCUAUUGGGGUCUCUUGGAAGCUGUUAAAUAGAUGAUGAGAAUUGUUGGUGCUCACUCAAGAUUUUGAUUUUAAGAUUUCUCAUAUAUACAAACAAGGAAAUACAUGUACGGAUUCUUUAGCUAACCAUGCAAUAUGAUUUAAGUUAUUUUUUUGGUCUGAUACUAUCAUCCUUUUUGUUUGGAGGAUUUUAAUAGCAAUAAAUCAAGAUUACCUUCUUAUAGGUUUUCUUUUUUAUUUCUCAUCAUGGUUUUGAUUUGGUCUUGGCCCCCAUGUUUGUGUUCCUUUUAAUAUCAAUUAGGGUUUGUUGUAACUGAUAGCUAGGGAUUGUGGUGCCAACAUAAUUGGAAUCCUUUCUCUUUAAUAUGAUGCUUUUGCAAGCCUUUUUUUUAAUAAAAAAAUAAAUAUAAUUUUUGGAAUUAUCCUAAACACAUCCUUAAAAUUAAGAGGAAAAUUUAAAAUUAUUAUUAAGGAAUCUAUAUAUCGUGCGUGAUUCCAAAGGUAGGCUGUCAUCCCCGUAUAUUGUUCUAGCUACGGACUAGGGAUAGAACAUCGCAUGUAGCUGACUUUCCAGGUGCCAUUGUUUAGCAGCUCCUAUAUAAUGGAGCCAGGAGGGGUUCAAACGGACAUAGAUGCAAUAUACCUAAGAGCCACAGUAUUCACUAUAAAUCCUUUAUUUAAUUAAUUACUGUGAUCAUACACAGUAAAAAGAUUAAAUUAAAAAGCAACACUUAAAUGAUUUCUGUUUCAAAAAGAUAACAAAUAUACUUAUGUUAUAAAAGAAAGUUUAAUGUUUAUGCAUUAAUUGUAAUUUAUUGUAUAAAUUACUUUAAGAUAAUUAUUUUAAAAAGUUAUUAUACAUCAUGAAUUAAUUCAAUGUCAUUAAUAUUAUUGAGUUUGGAUCGAAUUCAAAUAACUAAAGAAAUAAAAAUUAGUAUAGACUAAAUUAUCAUAAAAAUAGAGAUUUAGAUAAACCCGAUCAAACACGUACCCCGACUCUUUGAUAUGUCAAUUUCAAAACCCUCAUAUACUAUAUUACUAUUCAUGAUGACACCUAUUGAUAAUUAGCUAAUUAAAGGAAAAGAAAAACACCAAUCUUGAUACGAAUCUUUGCAAAUUGAUCUUUAUCCAUUAGUUUUGGAUUCACGGGAGACACGAGGGCAUUUCAUUCAUAUUUGGAGAGAUUAAUUAAUCAUCAUCUUCAUGAUAUAUAAACUCACCCAUAUAAAUAUAAUAAAGAGCUAGAUGAUCAUUGCUCCACAGGAUACAGCUCAGCUCAUGAAAAAUUCUUAAUUUAUAGUAUAUGCUUAUGCAGAUCUAAACUUUGAGGGGAGGGGUAUACUUUCUAAGAAAAUUAAUUAAUGCAUGAAACUUAGGGAAUAAAUAAAAUUAACCACUUUUAAUUCAAUAAUCAAUAUAUCAGAGAUUUCCUCUUCCCAUUGGCUCUACAAAUUUAAUAACAAUAUUUAUGCGCUUGUGCUCAGGGGAGAAAGCUUGCUCAAUUACACUGCAUAUCUUAUUCAUACCUUCACUGCUCGAGAGAGCAUGAUAAAAGAAAAGAUUAACGUACAUGAAUUGGGAAAUAGAUAUCUGUAGCCUUUAUUCUAAUCUGAAUAGAAUCUUCUUUAAAUUAGUUGUUCAUUCUAAAUUAAUUAAUCCCUUUCCCUAUUUUGCUUCACACACACACACACACACACAUAUAUAUAUAUAUAUAUAUAUAUAUAUAUAUAUAUAUAUAAAUGUCAAGGUAUGGUGGUAAAAUUUAAGGAGGAAAUAUAUAGUCUGAAUUCAUGAACUUAUAAGAAAAAGAAAUUAAAACCCAUAUAUCCACUAUAUAUAAAUUAAGACAAUUGAACAAUCAACAAUUACUAUUAUCAAUAUCCUCUACUGAGAGAUAAUUUGAUUGGAGUAAGAUCAUUAUGAAUUAUAAAAAAAAUUCUUUAAGUACUUAACACAAUUAUACAUAUCUACUUAAAAACAACUAUACAUAUCAAGUACUCCAACUCAUAAUGAUUAAGCACUGGGAGUGACUUGAAGAACCUCAAUACCUUAUAUCAGUUAAUCUAAGCAGUUGAUGAUAAAUUAACUUGCAUGUGAUCACGCCUAUCCGUAUUUGCAUUCUUGUUUGGUUGCAUAAAUUAAGCCAUCCGGCCUGCUUGUUAUUUUGUGUGUGAAUUGACUGAAACCUUUGGCAGACAAAUUAAAACACAAGGAAUUAAAAUGCAAGAGGUUCUUAUACCUUGGCUAUAACUCAGACAAGUUGGGAAGUGGAAGCUACGUAUAAUUGAACAGAAGCCCAGGAAAGAUGACAACUACUGCUAAUUCAAGUUUGCUAUGCAGCUAUACCUAUAACAGACAGGAGUCCCUAAACUUUCUUCUAUAAACACUUUUCUCUAUCUCCCAUGCAUGCUUCUAUUUCUUAAAUAGAAAGCCCAUAUUUAUAGGAAAAAAAGGUUCUAUU